GUUAAAAAGCUCGUAGUUGGAGUUCUGCCAGGUGCCGCCUGUCCGCCCCAGUGGUGAGUACGUGGCGCGCAUUUGACCCUUUCAAGGGGAGCGUAUUGCACUUAACUGUGUGGUGCGGGAUCCUUGACUUUUACUUUGAGGAAAUAAGAGUGUUCCAAGCAGGCUCUCGUCGUGCUUAGCUCAGCAUGGAAUAAUAGCAUUGGAUCUCGAUUCCAAACUGUUGGUUGUAGGAAACGAGAUAAUGAUGAAGAGGGAUAGUUGGGGGCAUUCGUAUUUAACUGUCAGAGGUGAAAUUCUUGGAUUUGUUAAAGACGAACUACUGCGAAAGCAUCUGCCAUGGAUGUUUUCAUUGAUCAAGAACGAAAGUUAGGGGAUCGAAGACGAUCAGAUACCGUCCUAGUCUUAACUAUAAACCAUGCCGGCUAGAGAUCGGAGGUUGUUCGUUUUGUGACGCCUUCAGCAUCUUGAGAGAAAUCAAAGCCUUUGGGUUCCGGGGGGAGUAUGGUCGCAAGGCUGAAACUUAAAGGAAUUGACGGAAGGGCACCACCAGGAGUGGAGCCUGCGGCUUAAUUUGACUCAACACGGGGAAACUCACCAGGUCCAGACUGGGUAAGGAUGUACAGAUUGACAGCUCUUUACAGAUUCUCAGGGUGGUGGUGCAUGGCCGUUCUUAGUUGGUGGAGUGAUUUGUCUGGUUAAUU
rnacentral:rRNA from 1 species